CCCAAUGGGUACUCCAAGGUACGGAAACUUGAUUUGCUGUGUUUAUGUAUCACCGGGACAAGAAAAAGCGCUUCUAUGUUCUGGGAAUGUUGCUCACCUGCCAUGAUCACUUCUCUAAUAGUAAUAGAGGACAUGGUUAAGAAUUUUAUGGAAGAACACAGGAGAAAGAUAACAAGAACAAAUCAGAGUUACCUGCUUUAUACCUCAUAUUUCUUUGGGCAGGUGAUCUGGGUAGAACAUGCAGAGGUGGAGGACAAACCAGUGCAUCAGAUAUUCCAGCAAUUUGUCAGCGCCGGUGAGGCAUUCGGAGCUACACGCUGGGUUUCAGUCCUACAAAGGCAAUGUGAGCGGC
rnacentral:lncRNA from 1 species